GAUGAACGCUGGCGGCGUGCCUAAUACAUGCAAGUCGAGCGAACAGACGAGGAGCUUGCUCCUUUGACGUUAGCGGCGGACGGGUGAGUAACACGUGGGUAACCUACCUAUAAGACUGGGAUAACUUCGGGAAACCGGAGCUAAUACCGGAUAAUAUUUCGAACCGCAUGGUUCGAUAGUGAAAGAUGGCUCUGCUAUCACUUAUAGAUGGACCUGCGCCGUAUUAGCUAGUUGGUAAGGUAACGGCUUACCAAGGCAACGAUACGUAGCCGACCUGAGAGGGUGAUCGGCCACACUGGAACUGAGACACGGUCCAGACUCCUACGGGAGGCAGCAGUAGGGAAUCUUCCGCAAUGGGCGAAAGCCUGACGGAGCAACGCCGCGUGAGUGAUGAAGGUCUUCGGAUCGUAAAACUCUGUUAUUAGGGAAGAACAAACGUGUAAGUAACUGUGCACGUCUUGACGGUACCUAAUCAGAAAGCCACGGCUAACUACGUGCCAGCCGCCGCUGUAACAC
rnacentral:rRNA from 1 species